UCUAGAACACGAGAUAUGGAUUGAACACUGAACACUGUCUAGGUCACAGGACAAAUCCAGACUUCUAUUUUGAUGCUAAGAUUUGGACUCCAAAACGGCAGAAUUGAGUCUUGGACUCUUCAUUAAUGUUUUAGGCCCCUGUCUUAGCUUUUUAGC
rnacentral:pre_miRNA from 1 species